rnacentral:rRNA from 1 species
UACGUAGGGGGCUAGCGUUGUCCGGAAUCAUUGGGCGUAAAGCGCGUGUAGGCGGUUCGGUAAGUCCGCUGUGAAAGUCGGGGGCUCAACCCUCGGAAGCCGGUGGAUACUGUCGGAGCUAGAGUACGGAAGAGGCGAGUGGAAUUCCUGGUGUAGCGGUGAAAUGCGCAGAUAUCAGGAGGAACACCUAUGCGAAGGCAGCUCGCUGGGACGUAACUACGCUGAGACGCGAAAGCGUGGGGAGCAAACAGG